rnacentral:rRNA from 1 species
UCGAGAAUCUUCGGCAAUGGGCGCAAGCCUGACCGAGCGAUGCCGCGUGCGGGAUGAAGGCCUUCGGGUUGUAAACCGCUGUCAGAGGGGAUGAAAUACGGUGGGGGUUCUCCCCCAUGUUUGACAUAUCCUCAGAGGAAGUGUGGGCUAAGUUCGUGCCAGCAGCCGCGGUAAGACGAACCACACGAACGUUAUUCGGAAUUACUGGGCUUAAAGGGUGCGUAGGCGGCCUGACAAGUUGGGUGUGAAAUACCUCGGCUCAACCGAGGAAUGGCGCUCAAAACUGUCAGGCUUGAGGAAGAUAGAGGUGAGCGGAACUUAAGGUGGAGCGGUGAAAUGCGUUGAUAUCUUAAGGAACACCCGUGGCGAAAGCGGCUCACUGGAUCUUUUCUGACGCUGAGGCACGAAAGCUAGGGGAGCGAACGGGAUUAGAUACCCCCGUAGUCC